GAAAGAUUUGAAAUAGAAUUUUGGAUAUCUGAGAGUUGCGGAGCAACCAUGUGGAAAUAUUGGUGUGAAAUUGAACACCCUUAUGUUACACUUUUUGUGCUUUUUGGUUUUUUUUGCGUAUAGAGGAUUUAAAAUCCAGUGUUAUCUUUCAGUAAGCGAAUUUAUGUCAUCUCAAAAACUAUUUCAUUUCAAAAGUCUAAAAAUAUAAAGUCUAAGGCCUAGCCCUAUGCUUAAGCCCACACUUAAUAUUGAGCCUAAGCAUAGGCCUGAGAUUUGGACUUUGUUUUCAUAGACCUUGAA
ensembl:ncRNA F39H12.5 ncRNA